GGAACGGCCGGAUGCAGGAGACGGGAAGAAACAAGCCGAUUAUGUUCGCUUUAAUUAAGUGGUUGGAAGAUGUAAAAUUCUCAAUUCUGCCAACUGAACAUAUACGAGAUUUUAAUGAAGAUGAAUAAUUAGCCGGCAUGGAGGAAACGGACCUUUAUUUGGUGGAGUGGCGACAAGAAGCCAAAAGGCGGGUGGCCGGUCUAUGAAGCCUCCAUCAUCAAGCUAGCAGAAAUCCCACCUGUCCUUCUGGCUACAGAGUACUUACCAAGCCCAUGAAAUUGAAUGCAGAUCUUCCUGAUGUGAGAUUUACAUAAAUAUGUCAAAGUCUCAACCUCAUGCUGCCCUCCCCCAUCCUCCUAAACCUGUGGAUACAAAUGCAGAUUUCCUUAAUGUAAGUUGUGCAUUUUAAUUACAUCAUGUUAUUUUUAUUAUUAUUUAUUUAUUUUAUUUUACAUUCAAAUAUUUCAAGCUUCUUGGUUAAAGAAGCU